rnacentral:rRNA from 1 species
AAAACCCCGACUUCGGAAGGGGUGUAUUUAUUAGAUAAAAAACCAAUGCCCUUCGGGGCUCCUUGGUGAUUCAUAAUAACUUCACGAAUCGCAUGGCCUUGCGCCGGCGAUGGUUCAUUCAAAUUUCUGCCCUAUCAACUUUCGAUGGUAGGAUAGUGGCCUACCAUGGUGGCAACGGGUAACGGGGAAUUAGGGUUCGAUUCCGGAGAGGGAGCCUGAGAAACGGCUACCACAUCCAAGGAAGGCAGCAGGCGCGCAAAUUACCCAAUCCCGAUACGGGGAGGUAGUGACAAUAAAUACUGAUACAGGGCUCUUUUGGGUCUUGUAAUUGGAAUGAGAACAAUCUAAAUCCCUUAACGAGGAACAAUUGGAGGGCAAGUCUGGUGCCAGCAGCCGCGGUAAUUCCAGCUCCAAUAGCGUAUAUUAAAGUUGUUGCAGUUAAAAAGCUCGUAGUUGAACCUUGGGCCCGUCCUGCCGGUCCGCCUCACCGCGAGUACUGGUCCGGAUGGGCCUUUCUUUCUGGGGAAUCCCAUGGCCUUCACUGGCUGUGGCGGGGAACCAGGACUUUUACUGUGAAAAAAUUAGAGUGUUCAAAGCAGGCCUUUGCUCGGAUACAUUAGCAUGGAAUAAUAGAAUAGGACGUGCGGUUCUAUUUUGUUGGUUUCUAGGACCGCCGUAAUGAUUAAUAGGGAUAGUCGGGGGCGUCAGUAUUCAGCUGUCAGAGGUGAAAUUCUUGGAUUUGCUGAAGACUAACUACUGCGAAAGCAUUCGCCAAGGAUGUUUUCAUUAAUCAGGGAACGAAAGUUAGGGGAUCGAAGACGAUCAGAUACCGUCGUAAUCUUAAC